UACGAGGGGAGCUAGCGUUGCUCGGAAUCACUGGGCGUAAAGGGCGCGUAGGCGGCUUUAAGUCGGGGUGAAAGCCUGUGGCUACAACCACAGAAUGGCCCUUCGAUACUGGGACGCUUGAGUAUGGUAGAGGUUGGUGGAACUGCGAGUGUAGAGGUGAAAUUCGUAGAGUAUUACGCAAGAACACCGGUGGCGAAGGCGGGCCAA
rnacentral:rRNA from 1 species